rnacentral:rRNA from 1 species
UAACGCGUAGGUAACCUGCCUUGUAGCGGGGGAGUAACUAUUGGAAACGAUAGCUAAUACCGCAUAACAAUGGAUGACCCAUGUCAUUUAUUUGAAAGGGGCAAAUGCUCCACUACAAGAUGGACCUGCGUUGUAUUAGCUAGUAGGUGAGGUAACGGCUCACCUAGGCGACGAUACAUAGCCGACCUGAGAGGGUGAUCGGCCACACUGGGACUGAGACACGGCCCAG